rnacentral:rRNA from 1 species
UACGGAGGUGGGCAAGCGUUAUCCGGAUUCACUGGGUUUAAAGGGUGCGUAGGCGGGCAGGUAAGUCCGUGGUGAAAUCUCUGAGCUUAACUCAGAAACUGCCAUGGAUACUAUCAAUCUUGAAUAUCGUGGAGGUAAGCGGAAUAUGUCAUGUAGCGGUGAAAUGCUUAGAGAUGACAUAGAACACCAAUUGCGUAGGCAGCUUACUACACGAUCAUUGACGCUGAGGCACGAAAGCGUGGGGAGCAAACAGG